GAUAUUUUCUACUCUGGGCUUGGAAUUCAGUGAAACUGUGAUAAAACAACACUGGUGGUGGUCGUAAAGGAGGAAAUGUAAUAGUGAAGCUGGCCCCACAGUGCUUGUCGUCUGUGGGCUAGUUUCAAACAAGCACAUCCUUUGAGAGACACAGUUGGCUCUCCUGGGGGGUCUGGCUCCUUGGUAAGUCCCAGUCUUGGUCUCAAAGUUCUGUUUCACUUCACCAAAUUCCCAAAGAAACAAACAGGAUUUCCCCAGAGCAGGCCUGCUGUUCUGUGGUAUACUCAGUCUUUUGUGGGGGCAUAAUGCAUAUAUUAAUACAUAUGUAUAUAUAAUAUUCUUUGCACUGGUUUACUCAUUAUUC